GAGUCUGAUCAUGGCUCAGAUUGAACGCUGGCGGCAGGCCUAACACAUGCAAGUCGAACGGUAACAGGAAGCAGCUUGCUGCUUCGCUGACGAGUGGCGGACGGGUGAGUAAUGUCUGGGAAGCUGCCUGAUGGAGGGGGAUAACUACUGGAAACGGUAGCUAAUACCGCAUAAUGUCGCAAGACCAAAGAGGGGGACCUUCGGGCCUCUUGCCAUCGGAUGUGCCCAGAUGGGAUUAGCUUGUUGGUGGGGUAACGGCUCACCAAGGCGACGAUCCCUAGCUGGUCUGAGAGGAUGACCAGCCACACUGGAACUGAGACACGGUCCAGACUCCUACGGGAGGCAGCAGUGGGGAAUAUUGCACAAUGGGCGCAAGCCUGAUGCAGCCAUGCCGCGUGUAUGAAGAAGGCCUUCGGGUUGUAAAGUACUUUCAGCGGGGAGGAAGGGAGUAAAGUUAAUACCUUUGCUCAUUGACGUUACCCGCAGAAGAAGCACCGGCUAACUCCGUGCCAGCAGCCGCGGUAAUACGGAGGGUGCAAGCGUUAAUCGGAAUUACUGGGCGUAAAGCGCACGCAGGCGGUUUGUUAAGUCAGAUGUGAAAUCCCCGGGCUCAACCUGGGAACUGCAUCUGAUACUGGCAAGCUUGAGUCUCGUAGAGGGGGGUAGAAUUCCAGGUGUAGCGGUGAAAUGCGUAGAGAUCUGGAGGAAUACCGGUGGCAAAGGCGGCCCCCUGGACGAAGACUGACGCUCAGGUGCGAAAGCGUGGGGAGCAAACAGGAUUAGAUACCCUGGUAGUCCACGCCGUAAACGAUGUCGACUUGGAGGUUGUGCCCUUGAGGCGUGGCUUCCGGAGCUAACGCGUUAAGUCGACCGCCUGGGGAGUACGGCCGCAAGGUUAAAACUCAAAUGAAUUGACGGGGGCCCGCACAAGCGGUGGAGCAUGUGGUUUAAUUCGAUGCAACGCGAAGAACCUUACCUGGUCUUGACAUCCACGGAAGUUUUCAGAGAUGAGAAUGUGCCUUCGGGAACCGUGAGACAGGUGCUGCAUGGCUGUCGUCAGCUCGUGUUGUGAAAUGUUGGGUUAAGUCCCGCAACGAGCGCAACCCUUAUCCUUUGUUGCCAGCGGUCCGGCCGGGAACUCAAAGGAGACUGCCAGUGAUAAACUGGAGGAAGGUGGGGAUGACGUCAAGUCAUCAUGGCCCUUACGACCAGGGCUACACACGUGCUACAAUGGCGCAUACAAAGAGAAGCGACCUCGCGAGAGCAAGCGGACCUCAUAAAGUGCGUCGUAGUCCGGAUUGGAGUCUGCAACUCGACUCCAUGAAGUCGGAAUCGCUAGUAAUCGUGGAUCAGAAUGCCACGGUGAAUACGUUCCCGGGCCUUGUACACACCGCCCGUCACACCAUGGGAGUGGGUUGCAAAAGAAGUAGGUAGCUUAACCUUCGGGAGGGCGCUUACCACUUUGUGAUUCAUGACUGGGGUGAAGUCGAAACAAGGUA
rnacentral:rRNA from 1 species